GAUGAGCGCUGGCGGCGUGCUUAACACAUGCAAGUCGAACGGAGCGAAAUGGAAGCUUGCUUCUAUGGAGCUUAGUGGCGAAACGGGUGAGUAACGCGUAAUCAACCUGCCCUUCAGAGGGGGACGAACAGUUGGAACGACUGCUAAUACCGCAUACGAUUCAACUUCGGCAUCGAGGAUGAAUGAAAGGUGGCCUCUAUUUAUAAGCUAUCGCUGAAGGAGGGGAUUGCGUCUGAUUAGCUAGUUGGAGGGGUAACGGCCCACCAAGGCGAUGAUCAGUAGCCGGUCUGAGAGGAUGAACGGCCACAUUGGGACUGAGACACGGCCCAGACUCCUACGGGAGGCAGCAGUGGGGAAAUC
rnacentral:rRNA from 1 species